UAUCUUCUUGUCAGCAAUAAGUUGGUCACAUGCAUAUGCAAUCGCAAAUGAUCCGACUACAGCAGAAAUAAUAUACUUGGCUGCCAUGCUCAAACGAGAGUGAUGUGAGUUUUGGAUCUACAGAGGCGAUUGUCUAUUGAAAAUUCUGGCGAAAAGGCUCAAUUUUAUCAUGCCAAUUGGAAAAAUGUACAAACAAACGGUGUCGUUUGGGAUCCUUCAAAUUUUUUUUUUUUUUUUUUUUUUU
rnacentral:misc_RNA from 1 species